CAGUUCGGAUUGUAGUCUGCAACUCGACUACAUGAAGCUGGAAUCGCUAGUAAUCGCGAAUCAGAAUGUCGCGGUGAAUACGUUCCCGGGUCUUGUACACACCGCCCGUCACACCAUGGGAGUCAGUAACGCCCGAAGCCGGUGACCCAACCGAUAAGGAGGGAGCCGUCGAAGGUGGGACCGAUAACUGGGGUGAAGUCGUAACAAGGUAGC
rnacentral:rRNA from 1 species